UACGGGGGGGGCAAGCGUUGUUCGGAAUUACUGGGCGUAAAGGGCUCGUAGGCGGCCAACUAAGUCAGACGUGAAAUCCCCAGGCUCAACCUGGGAACUGCGUCUGAUACUGGAUGGCUUGAAUUCGGGAGAGGGAUGCAGAAUUCCAGGUGUAGCGGUGAAAUGCGUAGAUAUCUGGAGGAAUACCGGUGGCGAAGGCGGCGACCUGGGACGAUACUGACGCUGAGGUGCGAAAGCGUGGGGAGCAAACAGG
rnacentral:rRNA from 1 species